CUUAGGUAUAGUUGGGAACGAUGAUAAAUCUUAAGUUUCUAUUGUUUGAACAAGGAUACGUCAUUACAGAUCUAGGCAUCAGUGAGGAUGGGGGAAUUCCUAGGGAUGUUAGUGGUCAAGGUGUUUGAGGUAACCAUACAGUUGCAAAUAAGGUCGACAAAGGGGUCAAAGAACAAGCAAAAAGUUACUGUGAUUGAUGUAAGGAGAUGCAGUUCGAGUUGAUAAAGGUUGAGAACCCCUCUUAGAUGGGAUUGUGAAGAGGAAAGGAGUCGGCAGGAGGCCAAAGGGUUUUUAAGAACUUAAAGAAACUUCUAUCUAUAAUUGACCAAAUAGAGAAAAUGAAAGGUUGGAUUGUUAAUGGAGAAACACAAGUGAUGUUGAGGGAGUUUUAGGCAAAGAUUUUGUUGGUAAUAAUGAGGGCGAAAAAUGAUGGUCUUGGCAGUGCUCUUAGUAAUGAGCUUUCCGACGAAGUUAACCAAAAGGGUAGAUGAGGUCUACCAAAGGUUCAAAAAAUAAGAAACCUUCUGAUGAGAAAGGAUGCAGUAGGCCAAGGGGCUGAAGAAAAAUGCGCAACUGAAUGGUUCUGGCAAAGUAUAAAUUUAUUGUGAAAGUUCAACGUUCUAAAAUUUUUAGGAUUUCCAGUAGAUGGAGAAACCUCAAAUUUGAAUUGCACUGUAGUUUUGAAGGAAAUAGCACUUGAAUUGCACGAAAUCAUUUUUUUUUAUUUGGCUGUGGAAGUCAUGAUCAAUGUUCUAGUAGGUUUAACGCGAUCGAAAUUCUAUUUGCUAAAGGUAAAGACGUUUGCUAUUUUUGCUGCGAAGCGUUGUCACCACUGAAAUGCGAAAUCUGACGUCAACUAAAGUUAAAUUUCUCAUGCUGUUUGAUAUACAUGUAUAAAUAGUUGAGAUAUGUUUAUCGUUGUCUUGAAGAAUCUAAUUGGAGUAGAUUGAUUCUUAAGAAUACUGUA
rnacentral:lncRNA from 1 species